rfam:Spironucleus salmonicida unplaced genomic scaffold scf7180000020479, whole genome shotgun sequence.
GGGCAUCUAGCUCAGUUGGUAGAGCGCGUGCUUCGCAAGCGCGAGGCCCCGGGUUCGAUUCCCGGGUUGUCCA